GGUCCCGCGUCUGAUUAGCUUGUUGGUGAGGUAACGGCUCACCAAGGCGACGAUCAGUAGCCGGCCUGAGAGGGUGUCCGGCCACACUGGGACUGAGAUACGGCCCAGACUCCUACGGGAGGCAGCAGUCGAGAAGCUUCGGCAAUGGGCGAAAGCCUGACCGAGCGACGCCGCGUGUGCGAUGAAGGCCCUAGGGUCGUAAAGCACUGUCAGGAGGGAAUCUGAAGGUACCUCCAAGGAAGCACCGGCCUAACUACGUGCAGCAGCCGCGGUAAUACGUAGGGUGCAAACGUUGUACGGAUUCACUGGGUAUCAAGGGUUCGUAGGCGGCUGGUAAGUCAGAAGGUGAAAGCCACUGGCUCAACCGUUGAAUUGCCUCUGAUACUGUCAGUCUUGAGUCCGUCCGGGGAUGGUGGGAUUCCUGGUGUAGCGGUGAAAUGCGUAAAU
rnacentral:rRNA from 1 species